CCUCCGGGGGCAGGAGGUUCGACUCGAGCGAAGCGAGAGAACGUUGCGUCAGCAACGGCCCGCAGGGCGAGUCACGCAGUGGCGAGUCAUCCUCUAUCACCGACCA
rnacentral:sRNA from 2 species